UGCGGGAUCCCCGGCAGUUCCUGGUGCCGCAACGGAAGAUCCUCAGGUAGAGCGAGCCAGGGAAGGACGGGGACACAUGCAGCCAGAGGCGGGCGUGAUACAGGUGGUGGGACCGAAGCGGGGACAGCUGGAAGGCUGAUUUAUCACUCCCUCUGUAACCAAGGAUGACCUUCAGUUCCCUGUGUCGAUAAGGCUGACCUUCAGCUUCUGUUCUUAAGUACUGGGAUUAAAGACAACGGGAAGGGGAUGGCUCCUCGGCUCCACCACUGCCAGACAACAGAGGAAGUCCUGCACACUGCAUCCCGGCCACCUUUGACACAUGGCAAUGGAGCCCGAUGGUAGAGGCCUAGAAAUCCAGGGUGCCAUGGAGUGGAGAGGGGGGGGAGAAAGGAUUAGGAGAUGGUUCUGUCUGUCUGCAUCUCUCCCCAGGCCUGGAAACACGCUGAAGACUUUUGGCCACUGCUUUCUGUAACUCUUGGUUCCUCUGUUGGUCACUGCAGGUGAGUGACAGCCUGAUAGUCCCUGGGGGAUCUGGAUCAUGAGACUGUAAGUGCCCACUUCUGGCGGUGCCUAGGAGGCCUUACUUGUUUGCGCCAGGAAUUGGGCUCAGGGGACGUAGCAAAAAAAUGGCUGUAGGAGGCACUGGUGCCACCUUUCCAACACCCUCCUGUCAGGCGCCCAUGAUUUCCCGUUUUUUCCCACCCCUUUGCUGUUGUGCCUGGCCUGGUCCUACCUCCCCACUGACACUUACAUCAGAGCUUAGCUAUAAAUACGCUCUUAGCAUCUUAGUCACUUUCCCAAGAAGUGCUUCCAGGUUAUAAAUACCCCGGCAUCUGCCACACUGCCCGCCCGCCCGCCUUGCCACCAAGCUGGCUGGGGGCUGGGGGUAGCGACAGGCUUGAGAGGGGGGAAGGAAAUAGAAGAGGCAGGGACACUGUUUCGCCCAAAUGAGAACUUCCUGAAGGAGUCAAGAGGUAGGGGCUCAGGGAGAAAAUGUUUAGGCGAUGACAGGUUCCUCCAUCCUCCCCACCCCCCUUUUUAAAACAAAAAACAGAAGCCAAAAAAAGAAAGUGAAUAGCAUGGAGCCCACGUUUAUUUUUAAAUAUGCUGUUUUGUUCAUCGUGAUUUGCAGCAUUCACUGUUUGAAAAUCCUUCAUUAAAAUGCUGGCUUUCUCCAUUGA